GACAGGAGGCGUUGGGGCCUUGCCUGAGUCCCCACUGUGACCACACCCUCCAACGACAGCGUCUCUGACAUUCGCUGGGACCCCUGGGGAUACGGUGACCAGUUGCCGCCCACACACAAAGUGCCAGGUCCCUGGGGAUUCCUGGAAGCUUUGCUAGGAGCCAGGCAAACAAAUGAGCGGCCAGUUCUGCAGCCACCCACACUCACCUCUGCAGGGAGUGAAGGUCCUUCCAAGCCCUGCUCGGACACCCUCUCUCUUCUGACCAUGCUGAGCUGAUCUCCAUUACCAGUGACCCUCUCCCUUGGAACAAGGGAUGUCUGGGUCCAGCUCUGCCUGCCAGCCAGG